rnacentral:rRNA from 1 species
AACGAACGCUGGCGGCAUGCCUAACACAUGCAAGUCGAACGGAAACUCCGGGUUUAGUUGCGCGGGGGGGGGUGACGCGUGGGAAGCUGCAUGUAGGUUCGGAAUAACUGAGAGAAUUUUGAGCUAAGAACGGUGGAUGUCUUAGGAACAAAGAGUUAUCGCCUUUUGGUGGGCUUGCGUAGGCUUGGCUGGUGGGGGGGGUAAAGGCCUACCAUGGCAUGGAUCCUUAGCUGGUCUGGGAGGAUGGUCAGCCACACUUGGGAUGGGACCCGGCCCAGACUCCUAGGGGAGGGAGGAGAGGGGAAUAUUGGACAAGGGGGGAAAACCUGAUCCAGCAAUGGCGGGUAAGUGAUGAAGGCCGUAGGGUUGUAAAGCUCUUUUACACGAGAUGAUAAUGACAGUAUCGGGAGAAUAAGCACCGGCUAACUACGUG